rnacentral:lncRNA from 1 species
AUUUUGAGCAAAACGCAAAGAAUUUUACCUAACCGAAGCUAGUUCGAUGAAGUUCCUCCGGUGAUACCCAGAUAAGUCCUAUUUAUCUCUUCUGUAGGCUCUACAAAAAUUCUUCUUCUUCUUCUUUGCUUCUUGAACUUUACUGUUGUUGUUUGCUUUAGGGUUAGGAUUUAGCUCAAAUUAUCUCAGAGUUUUACUGGAAAAACUAUGAGUAAUCUUAAGGUCCUGAGCUUUGAGUGAGGUCUUAAAAAUGAAUUUG